rnacentral:rRNA from 1 species
AGCAGCCGCCGCGGUAAUACAGAGGGUGCGAGCGUUAAUCGGAUUUACUGGGCGUAAAGCGUGAGUAGGCGGCUUUUUAAGUCGGAUGUGAAAUCCCUGAGCUUAACUUAGGAAUUGCAUUCGAUACUGGGAAGCUAGAGUAUGGGAGAGGAUGGUAGAAUUCCAGGUGUAGCGGUGAAAUGCGUAGAGAUCUGGAGGAAUACCGAUGGCGAAGGCAGCCAUCUGGCCUAAUACUGACGCUGAGGUACGAAAGCAUGGGGAGCAAACAGGAUUAGAUACCCCAGUAGUCCCUGUCUCUUAUAC